GUCUGCUAACGGCAUUUUUUUUUAUUUCCCUCUAGGCAUUUCUUGGGGUUCGUGAUAUAAUUUAUCUGUCAUGUAGUAUUAACAAUAUACUUUUCAGGGACUUAAAGAUUAGUGGGGCCCCUGGGCUGUCUGUCUCAACUUGCUGAGCACUGAACGUCCUUCACAUUGUCAUGCCUCAUCUCUAAUCUGGCUUUUCCUUUAAAACAAUUAUAAUAUCGGAGGGUUACAUGGGCUUCACAACAGUGCCCUACACUCUUUAUGACCAUUGCUAAUUGGCAAUUAGUCGAAAUUUUAAUUCUAUAAUGUGUUUAGGUUAGCAAUUUGGUGAGUUAGGGAGGAGCAGCUUUGGCCUUUGGCAAUUGCAAAUCUGAGUUUAUCUCCCCUCUCAAUGUGAACAAGCACAAGUUCAAGCGGUGCCCUGAGUGACAGCAUUACAAUAUCAUAAUCAUUUACAGAGCGUCCGCACAGAAAGAAAUGAAUUUUGGGAAAGCAUUCAGCAGCUGCAGGACUCCCUUAGAUGGCUUAAUAAAAGUAUCUUAAAAAGUAUGAAAGCCCUUGCUGUUUCAAAGUAAAAUGAAGUAGCUAGCCUAUGUGGACAGCCCUCCAGCCACUCUCAUUGAGCCUUCAGGGACUCCACCAGAAAAGGAGACAUGUUUGUCUCCAGGCGCCAGAGGCUCAGGUCACAAGAACUCAGAAACACCAGGACCACAGUUUGACAGCCAACUUCAAGGCACAACUUUGGGUUGGCGUGUUGACUCUAGUACCUGACAUUGGUUUCUACCCACGGAGCCAGCUCUGUGAAAAACUGUGCCGCAGGGACACAGUGCUGACUUUUCACCGACCUCCACUUAGAACCAGCCUUCCCCCCACCAGGAACCUGGCAACUAUCCUUGUUGCGUUUCCAGCUGUUACACUGAACAUUCCUAGUCCAUAGGAACUAGAAGAUUUGUUUAACAGGAACAGUGGCUUGAACCUGGGAGGUGGAGCUUGCAGUGAGCUGAGAUCACACCACUGCACUCCAGCCUGGGCGACAGAGCGAGACUCUGUCUCAAAAAAAAAAAAGAAAGAAAGAAAGAAAGAAAAAAAUCAAAAUAAGAGAAAUGCAGUCUACAGUCUCUUUCAAACUUCUGCAACCACAGCCCUGUCUGCACAGGACACCUGUUGACAGCUUGGAGAUUACCAGCGCUCUGACCGUGACCUAGAGAAACGCCAGGCAGGCGCUCUACAGAACUCCAAACUUGAUUCCUUACAAUGACAAUACAAAGCAGCGAAUUGACCUUGCCUGCAACAGAACAGGUCAAAUACCAAAGGGAGAAGAGCAAUAAAGGAAAUAAAGUCUUUCUGUGCCAUCGUUCAUCACACAUUUCUUUCUACAUUCUUACAUCUCUGAAGCACGAAACCAGGACGUGUCUCAGAGUCAGUGGCAUCUGACAAUCUCUGUCUGCCUUAUGGUAAUUGCAAAAGAGUUCUUACCAUCCAACCAUGACUGAACAUCAGCAGUGUGGGGAAAAAAAUCCUGAAAAAAGAGAGGCACACUCUUGAGUUCUGGUAAGAACUCAGAAUCAGUUGGCCGUGGAAGACAGGUUGGGAGGGAGUGCCAAGAAGUGAUCAGCCGCAUUCCUGAAACACAGCACACUAGCUCUCCCCUGAAUUCCAAAGCCAAGUAAAAAGCUCUGUGCCAAUGGUCUUUUGCUACUUUAUAGGUUCUUUUAAGAAAUGAUGAGUCACCAGUGUCUUCAAUGUAAUAGGUAUCUACAAAAUCAUGGACAUCAAUGAUGCUCAAUGAAGAGUGAGACAGAAGAACUGAACUCUUGAUGUAAAGAAGCUUAGGAAUACUUUAACCCACCUUAGGAAUACCUUACCCAACCAACCUUGAAAUUUUCCCAGUCCUCAGACAGCAUGAGGCUGUCACAGAGGCAAACCUUUCCAACCAGCUUAGUCCCAUUUACCUUCCUUGUUCUUGUAGGCGUAAGAGUGACCAAUGAUAAAAACUUGUGUCUAAGUUCAAACGGUUCUUUCAAUAAGCAUAAAAUAAAAUCAAAGUGAUAAGAAAACUUUAGAUCACAGCUUAAUGGGCAGUGAUUUUUCCUCCUUCAUGGUAUAUAAAAUGACGGGGCACUUAAACUCAAUUGUGACUUGGAAUUAAUAAAAUGGGUAACUGGCUUUUAAAAAGAGUAUUUUACCCAAUUCUCUCUUUCUCUCUAAAACAUUUUGGAUUUUAUUCUUGAAUAGCUAAAAUUCCCAAGGAAAUUCAAUUCACUUCCUUUAGAGUAAAAUUUUGAGAACUGCCCUUGGUUACCUUAUUCUUUAAGGUCUCGGAAUUGUCACUCUGCUCUUGCUGAAAGUGGCAAGCCAGCCACCUCCUAAAGCAAAUCUCCAUAACAGGCUUUCCUCAAGAACAAGGCUUUGCCUUAGACCAAGUCUCCAGAGAAAAUUUGGCCUCUUCUAAGUUUGUGUUUUCCUCUGCAAUUCUCUUUUUAUAGUUGAAGCUAGUGGUAAGGUCAUCCAGCCUCAGCUGGUCUCAAUUAUACCCCUCUGUCUGAAGCAGAGGCUGGGGGACACCCAGCACUGUCUCUGGCUCCUUCACUUCCCCUCUAUGAAAUGACAGAAUUCAAUAAGAUAUUUUCCAGGUCCCUACAGCAUUAAUUCUAUGCUUUAUGUUGACUUCUCAAAAAGACCAAAAGUAUUGGUAUUUCCUUUGUAUUGUAUACAAAACAAGUAUAUUAUAUGAAAUUAACCAUUUUGCCUUAAUAAGCAGAUAUAGAUCUUUUUGUUUUAGUUUGGUUUUUUUGUUUGGUUUGGUUUUUGUUUUUGUUUUUGUUUGAGACAGAGUCUCGCUCUGUCGCCCAGGCUGGACUGCAGUGGCACCAUCUCAGCUCACUGCAAGCUCUGCCUCCUGGGUUCAUGCCAUUCUCCUGCCUCAGCCUCCCAAGUAGCUAGGACUACAGGCGCCCACCACCACGCCCAGCUAAUUCUUUUGUAUUUUUAGUAGAGACGGGGUUUCACCAUGUUAGCCAGGAUGGUCUCGAUCUCCUGACCUCAUGAUCCACCUGCCUCAGCCUCCCAAAGUGCUGGGAUUACAGGUGUGAGCCACUGCGCCCAGCCCAACAAGCAGAUAUAGAUCUUUACAACUCUCACAGCAUACUGCUGAUCAAUGAAACAUAUAAAAAAUUAACAUUUUUCAAAAAGUCACACAACAUAUACCAGCAACACUCUGAAUUGUUUGCCUUCUGUUUUUUGUUUGUUUGUUUUUUGUUUGUUUUUUUGAGACAGAGUCUUGCUCCAUCACCCAGACUGGAGUGCAGUGGCAUGACCUUGGCUCACUGCAACCUCCACCUCCCAGGUUCAAGCAAUCCUCCUGCCUCAGCCUCCCGAGUAGCUGGGAUUACAGGCGAGUGCCACCACACCCAGCUAAUUUUUGCGUUUUCAGUAGAGAUGGGGUUUCACCAUGUUGGUCAGGCUGGUCUCAAACUCCUGACCUCAGGUGAUCUGCCUGCCUCGGCCUCUUGAAGUGCUGGGAUUACAGGCAUGAGCCACUGUGCUCGGCCUCUGUUUUUUAAAAUUAUUUAUUUUUUCAUCCUGAAAGUAACCAGAUGUGCUAGGUCUUAACAAGAUUCCUAAAUUGAGAUGGGCAGUGAUGAUGAAGUUAACUAUUAAUGUUAUCUACAGCUCCUAGACUACAAGGCUGUGAGGUCAAGUUCAUAUUCUCUUUGUUUGCUGUGAUAUCCUGAGCACAGAACAUGGUGCAUAGUACAUAAGCAUAAACAGCUAUUUACUGAAGGAAGAAAUUAAUGACUCAAUAGCAUUGAGAAACAGGAAAUGAGGGAAAAAUUAAUUUUUACAUGCCUGCUACGUAUGUACAUUUUAUACCACUGCAAAUAAGUACAGAUAAUUUAAUUAAACUAACAUUCUUCUAAACUUUCUCUCCUCCAGCACACAGUUCUGAAAUACAGAAACAACACUUGCAUUUUUAUUGAUCAUAGAGCAAUGGGUGAUUGAUCUUGAAAUCUGUAGGAUUAUUUGUAGUACACAUGCACAUGCAUCUUUUCAAUCACUGAUUAUCA
ensembl:lincRNA